AACAUCCACAGAAGAAAAAGUAGAACGGUUACUAAAGAAUAAGUUGGAUUUGGACGUCAAUGAAAAUCAAUCGAUAUCUACGGUGGUACCCAGGACCCCUCCAUCGGCUUCAGCUGUUGUAGAGACUGAGCCGAGGUUGUCUUCAGCUCCUGUCAGAGCUCUCAGGCGUUACAGAGUUUUACCAGACCCACCAAGUACUCAGAGAACGUCUGAAGAUUCGCCUCAACCGUCCAGCCAAUCACCUGUCACUCAGGUAUCCCAUGGUUACAGGCCUGGUACAGCUGCCGCUGCUCUACAGAAGCGAAGGCUCAAACCAAACUAGUAAUAGGUUUGAUUGGUAGGUUAGCAAACAGUAUCCCCAGGAGGGAGGGGUCAGGUACUUUUAAUACAAACAAGAUUGUCCGGUGUAUAAAAAACCGGUGUGAAAUGUGCAGUACUGUGCAGUGCCCAUUCUUUCCAAUACACUGUGCUUUCACAUAGUAGUUAUGUUAUUGGACAACAAGCCUAGCAAAUUUAACGAGUCAUAUACCCGGCUACCGGGGAAAGAAGGGGCAUAAAAUCCCGUUGUGUGUCCGGGAUUUGUAAGUUUCAUUAAUAUAACUAUAACGAGCGUUUAUUUCUAAAUCAGGUACUACCUUACGGGAUAUAAAGUCGGGUCGUGAAAAACCCGGUGUUUGCUCGGUGCUUCCAAUAUUAUCAACUUGGGGCAACGUCAUGCAAAAUGCCCCUACUUUGCACGAGGGGGAAGGGGAGGGGUUCAUUUUGUGUUGGACACGAUAUAAGAUAUUCUUAAUGUUUGAUAAAACUAACUUGUGAAAAUGUGUUAUUGUUAAGAAUCAUUAAACCCAACGACAAGCUCUC